UUUACCUGUAGUAAGUCAGUGUGGUCACUAGGAAAGCACUACACCCUUUGAAACACGAAAAGAAUACUUUAGGGGAAAUACAACAUUUUUUUAAUAAACAUUUGAUAAUUGUACGUACAGUAAGGGAGUUAUUGUCAGAAUUUUACCUGUAGUAAGUCAGUGUGGUCACUAGGAAAGCACUACACCCUUUGAAACACGAAAAGAAUACUUUAGGGGAAAUACAGUAAUUUUUU